rnacentral:RNase_P_RNA from 1 species
CAGAAGGGAUAUAAUCGCUGCGGUUUUGCCGCAGAGGAAAGUCCGGGCUCCUUCGGAAAAAAUGCCGGCUAACGGCCGGGGGCUUUUUUGUAAUGGAAAAGCUACAGAGAGCGCAACAGAAAGUAUACCGCCGCAAGGUAAGGGUGAAAUGGCGGGGUAAGAGCCCACCGGGUUUUUGGCAACAAAAACCGCAUUGCAAGCCUCAUUUGGAGCAAAGUUAAAUAGCAGCUGUAAUUCCGAUGCCGGGCGCAAGUCUGGGCGGCUGCUGGUAAACUGCUGGAGAUAAAAUGUAAGUUUUGUCCAAGAUAGAUGAUUAUGGUAAAUUGUUGCUUUGCAAUAAUUUAUUGACAGAACUCGGCUUAUUGUCUCUUCUGCUUU